rnacentral:rRNA from 1 species
GGACGAACGCUGGCGGCGUGCUUAACACAUGCAAGUCGAACGGAAAGGCCCUGCUUUUGUGGGGUGCUCGCGUGGCGAACGGGUGAGUAACACGUGAGUAACCUGCCCUUGACUUUGGGAUAACUUCAGGAAACUGGGGCUAAUACUGGAUAGGAGCUCCUGCUGCAUGGUGGGGGUUGGAAAGUUUCGGCGGUUGGGGAUGGACUCGCGGCUUAUCAGCUUGUUGGUGGGGUAGUGGCUUACCAAGGCUUUGACGGGUAGCCGGCCUGAGAGGGUGACCGGCCACAUUGGGACUGAGAUACGGCCCAGACUCCUACGGGAGGCAGCAGUGGGGAAUAUUGCACAAUGGGCGGAAGCCUGAUGCAGCAACGCCGCGUGCGGGAUGACGGCCUUCGGGUUGUAAACCGCUUUCGCCUGUGACGAAGCGUGAGUGACGGUAAUGGGUAAAGAAGCACCGGCUAACUACGUG